rnacentral:rRNA from 1 species
ACAGUGGACGCGAGCAUCUGUGGCCAAGUUUUUAAGGGCGCACGGUGGAUGCCUUGGCACCAGGAACCGAUGAAGGACGUGGGAGGCCACGAUAGUCCCCGGGGAGUCGUCAACCAGGCUUUGAUCCGGGGGUUUCCGAAUGGGGAAACCCGGCAGUCGUCAUGGGCUGUCACCCGCUGCUGAACUCAUAGGCAGUGUGGAGGGAACGCGGGGAAGUGAAACAUCUCAGUACCCGCAGGAAGAGAAAACAACCGUGAUUCCGGGAGUAGUGGCGAGCGAAACUGGAUGAGGCCAAACCGUAUGUGUGUGAUACCCGGCAGGGGUUGCGCAUGCGGGGUUGUGGGAUCUCUCUUCUACGGUCUGCCGGCCGUGGGACGAGUCAGAAACCGUUGAUGUAGGCGAAGGACAUGCGAAAGGUCCGGCGUAGAGGGUAAGACCCCCGUAGUCGAAACAUCAGCGGCUCGUUUGAGAGACACCCAAGUAGCACGGGGCCCGAGAAAUCCCGUGUGAAUCUGGCGGGACCACCCGCUAAGCCUAAAUAUUCCCUGGUGACCGAUAGCGGAUAGUACCGUGAGGGAAUGGUGAAAAGUACCGCGGGAGCGGAGUGAAAUAGUACCUGAAACCGUGUGCCUACAAGCCGUGGGAGCGUCGCGCAUCGAGCUUGCUCGGUGCGUCGUGACUGCGUGCCUUUUGAAGAAUGAGCCUGCGAGUUAGCGGUGUGUAGCGAGGUUAACCCGUGUGGGGAAGCCGUAGCGAAAGCGAGUCCGAAGAGGGCGUUUGAGUUGCACGCUCUAGACCCGAAGCGGAGUGAUCUAGCCAUGGGCAGGUUGAAGCGGCUGUAAGAGGUCGUGGAGGACCGAACCCACCAGGGUUGAAAACCUGGGGGAUGACCUGUGGUUAGGGGUGAAAGGCCAAUCAAACUCCGUGAUAGCUGGUUCUCCCCGAAAUGCAUUUAGGUGCAGCGUCGUGUGUUUCUUGCCGGAGGUAGAGCACUGGAUAGGCGAUGGGCCCUACCGGGUUACUGACCUUAGCCAAACUCCGAAUGCCGGUAAGUGAGAGCGCGGCAGUGAGACUGUGGGGGAUAAGCUCCAUGGUCGAGAGGGAAACAGCCCAGAGCAUCGACUAAGGCCCCUAAGCGUACGCUAAGUGGGAAAGGAUGUGGAGUCGCAGAGACAACCAGGAGGUUGGCUUAGAAGCAGCCACCCUUGAAAGAGUGCGUAAUAGCUCACUGGUCUAGUGAUUCCGCGCCGACAAUGUAGCGGGGCUCAAGCGUACCGCCGAAGUCGUGUCAUUGCAGCAUGAGGGCCAACGCCCGCUGUGAUGGGUAGGGGAGCGUCGUGUGCCGGGUGAAGCAGCCGUGGAAGCGAGUUGUGGACGGUUCACGAGUGAGAAUGCAGGCAUGAGUAGCGAUUCACACGUGAGAAACGUGUGCGCCGAUUGACUAAGGGUUCCUGGGUCAAGCUGAUCUGCCCAGGGUAAGUCGGGACCUAAGGCGAGGCCGACAGGCGUAGUCGAUGGAUAACCGGUUGAUAUUCCGGUACCCGCUGUGAAGCGUCAAACAUUGAAUCCAGUGAUGCUAAGCCCGUGAAGCCGUUCCGGACCCUUCGGGGAAUGGAAAGUGGUGGAGCCGGUGGCCCGAGCUGGUAGUAGGUGAGUGAUGGGGUGACGCAGGAAGGUAGUCCAUCCCGGGCGGUGGUUGUCCCGGGGUAAGGGUGUAGGACGUCAGGUAGGUAAAUCCGCCUGGCAAUAGUCUGAGACCUGAUGCCGAGCCGAUUGUGGUGAAGUGGAUGAUCCUA